GGAAAAUCUAAAUUUAACUAUCUUAAUAUAAAAAACUUACUGAAUGAAUUAUUUGGUGGUAAACCGCAUCGUCCAGCCAUUCUACUGUUGGAGUUGAUUAAUAUAAUUCCCUGUGCGUUUUCCUUUUAUUUUUUGAAAGAAAAUUUUUUGUCUGUUCGCUAAAUGUGCGUGUACAAGAAUGCAUGGGUGUUGGGCCCCUGAAGUCCAGUUUUAGUGAGUUGUUCUUGAAUAGUUGACGUCAUGUGGUUUGAUGGCGUGCAUGUUUGUCAGGUGUUAAUUAGGUAUCAGUUUGUAUGUAUAAUUAGUGUGUGAUGUGCCGUGGGCUAAACUGAUAACCAAGGAAUGUGUAAAAAAAAUUUUUUAGUCAUAAGUGUGAGAAUUGUCUGUCCGCCCCCAGAUCUAGUUGGUGAGAGAGGGAAUUUCAUUGUGACCAGGCACAUGCAUUGAAGAAAAACAAAAAACAACAAAAAAAAGCAACCAACAAAAAACAUAAACAUAAGAAACA